ACACUAAGUGAAAUAGCUAUUCUUUGCUUAUUAAUUUAUUUGUAUAAAUACUUUUAAGUCCAUCUUAUAAAAUUUUUUAAAUAGGAUAACCGAAAUAAAAAAUUACUGUAACUCGCCUCAAUUCUCACUUAUUUGCUGCACUUUGAUUUGUAUUUUAUUUAAAAUAAAAUUUUGAAAUUACUUCAGGUAAGUUCAGGACAACGGUAUACAAGCUUUGUUUAAGUGAGUGGAGUAUUCUUGGUGGUUAUCAAUUAUAUGGUAAGUUCCCCUAAAUGUUGCACUCAGCCGCCAUAAUGUUUAAGUUUGAGCUUAUUAUAGCAUUAAUUCUUGUCUUAGGAGGAUAAUCUCCGUAUAGCUGGGUCUCUAAUCCAGGUUUAAUUUUUGGACGUUAUUAAAUUAUUAACUAUUGUUAAUUUUUAAAAUUAUUAGUAUUUCACCACAUAUUAAUUAUUUGAAUAAUUAUGUUUCAUAAGACAACAGAUGUAAAUUUACCUAUUAGGUAUGACCGCGGUUGCUGGCACCUAAUAAACCUGGGCUAGAUAAUUAUCUAAAUUUAAAUUUCUUUAAUAGUUUAAAAUUUUUAACUAAAUAUUUAUUUAUAUUUUAUAUUAAGUUAUACUAUAGAUUUACAGGCAUUAUCACAUUAAAGUAAUAAAGUCUAUGGGGGUUCUUUGCCAUUUUAGG
rnacentral:rRNA from 1 species